GAUCUUUAUUUUUAUAAUUUAUAAAUUAAAAAGAAUUUUAUAAUUUAUUUUUUGUUAAGAAUUUUAUUGGGGUGAUAUUAAAAUUUAAAUAACUUUUAAAAUUAAUUAACAUAAAUAUAUGAAUAAUUGAUCCAAUUUUAUUGAUUAAAAAUUUAAGUUACCUUAGGGAUAACAGCGUAAUUUUUUUUUAGAGUUCAUAUCGACAAAAAAGAUUGC
rnacentral:rRNA from 1 species